rnacentral:rRNA from 1 species
UUCGGCCUUAGAGUUUGAUCCUGGCGCAAGACGAACGCUGGCGGCGUGCCUAACACGUGCAAGUGGAACGAAGCAUUUGAUUUGGGUUGAAUGCUGAGUGGGGAACGGGUGAGUAACGCGUGAGCGACCUGACCUUCAGAGGGGGACAACAGUUGGAAACGACUGCUAAUACCGCAUAAGACCACGAGCCGGGAUCGGGAUGAGGUCAAAGGAGCAAUCCGCUGAAGGAGGGGCUCGCGUCCAAUUAGAUAGUUGGCGGGGUAACGGCCCACCAAGUCGACGAUUGGUAGCCGAGCUGAGAGGCUGAUCGGCCACACUGGAACUGAGACACGGUCCAGACUCCUACGGGAGGCAGCAGUGGGGAAUAUUGGGCAAUGGGCGCAAGCCUGACCCAGCAACGCCGCGUGAGGGAAGAAGGCUUUCGGGUUGUAAACCUCUGUCCUUGGUGACGAAGAAAGUGACGGUAGCCAAGGAGGAAGCCCCGGCUAACUACGUGCCAGCAGCCGCGGUAAUUACGUAGGGGGCGAGCGUUGUCCGGAAUGACUGGGCGUAAAGGGCGUGUAGGCGGCUCUAUUAAUCCGGAGUGAAAGUCCUGCUUUUUAAGUGGGAAUUGCUUUGGAGACUGUAUAACUUUGAGUGCGGUAGAGGUAAGUGGAAUUCCCAGGUAGCGGUGGAAAUGCGUGGAGAUUGGGAGGAACACCAGGGGCGAAGGCGACUUUACGGGCCGUUAACUACGGUGGGGCGCGAAAGCGUGGGGAGCGAACAGGAUCAGAUACCCUGGUAGUCCACGCAAUAAAACGAUGGAAUGUUAGGUGUAGGGGGUAUCGACCCCUCCUGUGCCGGAGUAAACACAAUAAACAUUCCGCCUGGGGAGUACGGCCGCAAGGGUUGAAACUCAUAGGAACUGACGGGGGCCCGCACAAGCAGCGGAGCAUGUGGUUUAAUUCGACGCAACGCGAAGAACCUUACCAGGUCUUGACAUUGAAGCAAACCUGUAGAGAUACAGGGUGCCUUCGGGCAGCUGAAAACAGGUGGUGCAUGGUUGUCGUCAGCUCGUGUCGUGAGAUGUUGGGUUAAGUCCCGCAACGAGCGCAACCCUUAUUGUCAGUUACUAACGCGUGAUGGCGAGGACUCUGACGAGACUGCCGGGGACAACUCGGAGGAAGGUGGGGACGACGUCAAAUCAUCAUGCCCCUUAUGACCUGGGCUACACACGUGCUACAAUGGUGGUUACAGAGAGGAGCGAACACGUAAGUGCAAGCGGAUCUCAAAAAAGCCAUCUCAGUUUGGAGUGUGGGCUGCAACCCGCCCACACGAAGUUGGAGUUGCUAGUAAUCGCGAAUCAGAAUGUCGCGGUGAAUACAAGCCCGGGCCUUGCACUCACCGCCCGUCA